GCUGAAACUCCCAAAGUGCAUAUUAGCUGGCUGCCUGAUUUACCCAAGUAAAUUACAUAUUCAGUUCGCUGUUCGUGAGCAUUGCUACGCGAGAUGCCAAAACGGCGAAUUGGGAGAAAUGUGGUGAAGGUCUUACUUAUCAAAUUGCGAAAAAAGACGUUGGAUACUAUAUAAAGUUUGCUGUUAUUCCACGAAAUAAACAAGGAAUAAGCGGACCUAUGGCAGAAGAGAUUUCAAAAUGUGUGGUCGCGUUAUGAUUUGUUGGGAUAUCAUGUACUGCAUCUGGGCAACAGCAUACCGGCUUUACCUAUUUUCGAACCUCUUUGGAACAAAAUUA
rnacentral:sRNA from 1 species